rnacentral:rRNA from 1 species
UGCGUAGGCGGUGUCGAAAGUCGGGUGUGAAAGCCCUCGGCUCAACCGAGGAAUUGCAUCCGAAACUUCGGCGCUAGAGUAUGGUAGGGGGGAGUGGAAUUCCUGGUGGAGCGGUGAAAUGCGUAGAUAUCAGGAGGAACGCCGGUGGCGAAGGCGACUCUCUGGCCCAUUACUGACGCUGAGUGCACGAAAGCUAGGGGAGCAAACA